rnacentral:tRNA from 8 species
GGGCGAUUAGCUCAGUUGGUUAGAGCGCCACCUUUACACGGUGGAUGUCGGGGGUUCGAGUCCCUCAUCGCCCACCU